GCGAGGGUAGCUCAGUGGUAGAGCGUCAGGCUAUCAGGCCUGAAUGUCGUUGGUUCGAAUCCAUCUCCUCGCUCCA
rnacentral:tRNA from 1 species